rnacentral:rRNA from 1 species
GGCUCAGAUUGAACGCUGGCGGCGUGCUUUACACAUGCAAGUCGAGCGGCAGCAUGACCUUCGGGUCGAUGGCGAGCGGCGAACGGGUGAGUAAUACAUCGGAGCGUACCUUUUAGUGGGGGAUAACGCAUCGAAAGAUGUGCUAAUACCGCAUAAUCUCUGAGGAGGAAAGGCGGGGAUCACGUAAGUGACCUGUCGCUGAAAGAGCGGCCGAUGGUCGAUUAGCUAGUUGGCGGGGUAAAAGCCCACCAAGGCGAUGAUCGAUAGCGGGUCUGAGAGGACGAUCCGUCACACUGGGACUGAGACACGGCCCAGACUCCUACGGGAGGCAGCAGUGGGGAAUUUUGGACAAUGGGGGAAACCCUGAUCCAGCAACGCCGCGUGAAUGAAGAAGGCCUUAGGGUUGUAAAGUUCUUUUGUCAGGGAAGAAAGUUUCUGUGCUAAUACCAUAGAACGAUGACGGUACCUGAAGAAUAAGCACCGGCUAACUACGUG